AGUUAUUUCGAUUUUGUCUUUCAUUCCAUUUUAGCGUUCUGAGGAGCUAAAUUUAUGGAUGUUGAGUCUAGCCAUGUGCUCUAUUUGGAAGGAGUCACUAUUACUGAAGAAACAUUGUCUAAGGAAGCCUAGCCUACUAUCCCAAAAGAGGAGAGGGGAGACGAGAAGAAUGUGAAUGCAAAAGGAAAGGUAAAAGUUCCGAGCUCUGUUUGUUGGAGAACUGAAAAUCUAAAACUAUAGAUUGGCUGCAACGAUGUCACUUUCUGCAUUCACAGACAGGGAAAGAACUAAAAGAGGACAAAGCUUUGUUUGCUUUUCGGAAAUCUUUGGUAGACUUACAAACUACGGCCCGUGAAAGAGGUUGAUGUGAAGAACCAUUGGAGUGAUUUAUGUAACGACAUCAAGUUAGCCACAAAAGGUGUAAGGGAAGCAGCUUGAAAUACUUUAGCUGGUCAUAGUAGUUCCAGAAGAAUUUAAGAUUGUGCCUAAAGUAAUCAAGAAGUUGGAGAUUUCAUCUUUAUGCAAGAAUAUGAAGUCAAGUAAAUUUUGGAUGAACUCAAGGAUACUGCCUGAAAAAUCAAGGAAAUAAAGUAUCUACUCACUUGCUUAAAGACUUUUUGUCUUGUACAUAGACGUUUCAAUGACCUCAAAAGUCAUGGAACAAAGCAUAAUGUCAUCUUCAGCUGGAAUGUCGGUUCUCUAUGUUCUAAUUGCUGAUUGACCUAUUUUUCUUCGAUUGACCCGAUUUGACUUUUGUUUGCGAGGUAGCUUUUUUCCUUAUAAGAGAUGGAGCACAUGUGGAUGAUGAGGAGCACAAGAAAGGAUGCAGGGUGCUUGAACAAGCUUUAGAUGAGCCUAGCAUUAGUUGAUGCUUGUAAGACAAUGCUCGGAUGUAAAACCACCUGGUGUCAUUAGGCACUUAAGAUAUUCAAGGCAUACCUAAAUACGUGUGCUCAAAUUUGUGAAGUUGGUUUGCUUUGAUGCUUCUUUAGUUCCUUGGUAAUUUUUUUGUUA